GUGACCUUAGCUCAGCCGGUCAGAGCGUCGGGUUGUGGCCCCGAAGGUCGAGGGUUCAAGUCCCUCAGGUCACCCCU
rnacentral:tRNA from 1 species